rnacentral:rRNA from 1 species
UGGCUGUCGUCAGCUCGUGUCGUGAGAGUGUUCGGGUUAAGUCCCGUAACGAGCGCAACCCUUGUCCUAGUUACCAGCACGUUAUGGUGGGCACUCUAAGGAGGACUGCCGGUGACAAACCGGAGGAAGUGGGGAUGACGUCAAGUCAUCAUGGCCCUUACGGCCUGGGCUACACACGUGCUACAAUGGUCGGUACAAAGGGUUGCCAAGCCGCGAGGUGGAGCUAAUCCCAUAAAACCGAUCGUAGUCCGGAUCGCAGUCUGCAACUCGACUGCGUGAAGUCGGAAUCGCUAGUAAUCGUGAAUCAGAAUGUCACGGUGAAUACGUUCCCGGGCCUU